UACGAAGGGGGCGAGCGUUGUUCGGAAUUACUGGGCGUAAAGGGCGCGUAGGCGGCCGAUCAAGUCAGAUGUGAAAGUCCUGGGCUUAACCUGGGGACUGCAUUUGAUACUGAUUGGCUUGAAUGCAGGAGAGGAUAGCGGAAUUCCCAGUGUAGAGGUGAAAUUCGUAGAUAUUGGGAAGAACACCGGUGGCGAAGGCGGCUAUCUGGAUCUUUUCUGACGCUGAGGCGCGAAAGCUAGGGGAGCAAACGGG
rnacentral:rRNA from 1 species